rnacentral:rRNA from 1 species
UACGGAGGGGGCUAGCGUUGUUCGGAAUUACUGGGCGUAAAGCGCGCGUAGGCGGACCUGCAAGUCGGGGGUGAAAGCCCGAGGCUCAACCUCGGAACUGCCUUCGAUACUGCGGGUCUCGAGUCCGGGAGAGGUGAGUGGAAUUCCUAGUGUAGAGGUGAAAUUCGUAGAUAUUAGGAAGAACACCAGUGGCGAAGGCGGCGAUCUGGACGAUGACUGACGCUGAGACGCGAAAGCGUGGGGAGCAAACAGG